rnacentral:siRNA from 1 species
UGUCUAUACCGUAUACCACUUC